rnacentral:rRNA from 1 species
GGCGGCGUGCCUAACACAUGCAAGUCGAACGGAGAUUUACGUCAACACAAAGCUCUUCACGUAAGAGUAAUGUGGAGGGUUUUGAGUUGAUGUAAAUCUUAGUGGCGAACGGGUGAGUAACGCGUGAGCAACCUACCAAGGAGAGGGGAUAACACAGAGAAAUCUGUGCUAAUACCGCAUAAAGUCACGAUAUCGCAUGGUAUGGUGAUGAAAGGGCUUUUGCCUGCUUCUUGAUGGGCUCGCGUCUGAUUAGCUAGUUGGUAGGGUAAUGGCCUACCAAGGCGAUGAUCAGUAGCCGGGCUGAGAGGUUGACCGGCCACAUUGGGACUGAGACACGGCCCAGACUCCUACGGGAGGCAGCAGUGGGGAAUAUUGCGCAAUGGGGGGAACCCUGACGCAGCGACGCCGCGUGAAGGAAGAAGGUCUUCGGAUUGUAAACUUUUGUCUUUGGUGACGAUAAUGACGGUAGCCAAGGAGGAAGCCACGGCUAACUACGUG